rnacentral:other from 1 species
GCUUCACUGCGGCGUUGGUGACUGCCAAUAGCGUUUUAUGAUCUAUGCUUUUUGAAUUAGGGAGUCAAGCCAGUUUCGGCGGCAGUAGACCGGGCAUGUACCCGGAAACUUCUAAGCCUGAAGCCAAGACACCCACCUGGCAUUAGCCAGGUCAAAAACUGAGGUAAGACGGCGUUGCGGUGAAGCU